rnacentral:sRNA from 1 species
GCCGGGUGCUGUGGCGCACACCUGUACUCCCAGUUGCUUGGGAGGCUGAGGCAGGAGGAUCACGAGUUCAAAGCCAGCCUCAGCAAUGGCGAGGUGCCAAGCAAUGAGGUGCUAAGCAACUCAGUAAGAUCGUGUCUCUA